rnacentral:rRNA from 1 species
UACGUAGGGCGCAAGCGUUGUCCGGAAUUAUUGGGCGUAAAGAGCUCGUAGGCGGUUUGUCGCGUCUGCUGUGAAAACCUCAGGCUCAACCUGGGGCUUGCAGUGGGUACGGGCAGACUAGAGUGCGGUAGGGGUGACUGGAAUUCCUGGUGUAGCGGUGGAAUGCGCAGAUAUCAGGAGGAACACCGGUGGCGAAGGCGGGUCUCUGGGCCGAUACUGACGCUGAGGAGCGAAAGCGUGGGGAGCGAACAGG